rnacentral:rRNA from 1 species
UUCCAGACUCCUACGGGAGGCAGCAGUGGGGGAUAUUGCACAAUGGAGGAAACUCUGAUGCAGCGACGCCGCGUGAGGGAAGACGGUCUUCGGAUUGUAAACCUCUGUCUUUGGGGAAGAAAAUGACGGUACCCAAAGAGGAAGCUCCGGCUAACUACGUGCCAGCAGCCGCGGUAAUACGUAGGGAGCGAGCGUUGUCCGGAAUUAUUGGGUGUAAAGGGUGCGUAGACGGGAAAUUAAGUUAGUUGUGAAAUCCCUCGGCUCAACUGAGGAACUGCAACUAAAACUGAUUUUCUUGAGUGCAGGAGAGGUAAGUGGAAUUCCUAGUGUAGCGGUGAAAUGCGUAGAUAUUAGGAGGAACACCAGUGGCGAAGGCGACUUUCUGGACAGUAACUGACGUUGAGGCACGAAAGUGUGGGGAGCAAACAGGAUUAGAUACCCCCGUACCA